GAACCGUGCCCUUCGGGGCUAUUUUACAAACAUGGUGUAAUGAACGUCAUAUAUCAUAACAAAACAAAACUUUCAACAACGGAUCUCUUGGCUCUCGCAUCGAUGAAGAACGCAGCGAAAUGCGAUAAGUAAUGUGAAUUGCAGAAUUCAGUGAAUCAUCGAAUCUUUGAACGCACCUUGCGCCCUCUGGUAUUCCGGAGGGCAUGCCUGUUUGAGUGUCAUGUAGACUCAAUCCCUCGGGUUUCCGAGGAGAUUGGACUUGGGUGUUGCCGCUCUGCCGGCUCGCCUUAAAAGACUUAGCGGGAUAGCACCGUAGUCGGCGUAAUAAGUUUCGUCGGUGAAGGUUGUGAUGACUGCUUACAAUCGCCCUCGGGCAAUUUUUGACUCUGACCUCAAAUCAGGUAGGACUACCCGCUGAACUUAAGCAUAUCAAUAAGCGGAGGA
rnacentral:rRNA from 1 species